GCCAGCGCCCGGUUGGCGGCCCCCAGGGCGGGGUUCCUCCUGCAACCGAGCGGGACCUCCUUUAGCCCGGGCAGCGCUCUGGUCCUGGGUUUGCUUCUCUUCAAAACCCACGGGGGCCCGGGAGGGCUGAGAACCUCUGCCCGAGGCAGGGAGGUGCUGAGCAGCCCUCGCCAAUGUGGCGGUUCUGAACUACCCCCACCCCCGAAGGCUGGACUCUUCUGCCUCGGGAAGGGUGCUGCUUGCAGAAGUAAUCUCUUGGGUGGUGGGUGCCUGGAGGAGGGUCCAGGGGAACAGAUACCGGUGGGAGGGAGUCCUGCUUGAAUGCCCAAGCGGCACAGGCCUUGGCUGGGCUGGACAGAGCAGGUGGGGUGGACAGGGCAGGUGGGGUGGACAGGGCAGGUGGGCAAGGCAGGUGGGCCGGGCAUGACCCUUAUUAUGCCUGGUCACCUGUUAUUGCAGUUUCCGGUGAUGGUUCGGUAAUUGCUGUUCUUGUCGCAAGCCACCGCAGGAACCAGGGUGCCGCAGCCCACCUCCCUGGAGAGCGCAUUAAAGUCCAGGUUGGGGCCUGAAACAGAAGGGACCCCAAAGGGGGUGAAUUUGUUCUGAAGCACUGGUGGGGGGAGCAGGAAUAGAAAACCAGGGAUAAAGGUAACACUUUUUGGAAUAUAUUUUGUAUUCUAAGUAAGAAUUUUUCAGGUGGUUUCUCAUUUUAACCCUGACAGCUCAUUAAGGUAAGACUUUUUAUUCCCAUUUUUACAGAGAAUAAACUGAACCCAUAGAGACUUGCCCAAGGUUAUACAGACAGUAACUGACACUGUUACCAGAAUUGUUAGCAAUUCUUCUAUCAGGGCAUUUGAACCAAAGAUCUUUCUUUUAGAAUGAAACAACUACUGAGAAAUUAAGUGUGUGUUUUCAUGAAUUAGUUUGCUAAGGCUGCUUUUCUUCUAUAGCGUCUUGAUAUAAAAUACCAAGCAUGCAGGAAUCUACCUAGGAAAGAUGUUGGGACAGGUAAUUUCAAUGUGAGGGCCAAGGUGUGGUCUUCGAGGAGUAACAUAGUGUGUGUGGAGUGGGGGAGGGCGGAGGGCGAUUUUAGGCAUCAGAAACUUCUACAUGGGCACAGAAGAAAGACAGCUGCCUCCUCCUGAUUGCAUUCUUGUGUCUGCAAUGAAAGAGGGGCAAGGAAUCUGGGGACUUCUUUAGAGGGAGCCAUUUGUGAAAGUUGUCAGGGGCUGGAGUUCAGCCUCCAACAUCAUUUUAAUCUCAGAGUCCAAAGUGCUCCCUACUUUGUCCCAGUUUCCUUUUGUUGAAGCUUUGGAAUCUGCCCAAGUCCAAGGUCCAGUGCCCACUUGGUGCUUUCCCAGGGAUAACCUCAACCUAUUCCUCCUGUGGGACCAAACUCCGCCAUCCAUGGGCCUCCUAACAUGAGCUGUGACAUUUGGUAGUGGUAGGGUGGAGGAGUUGGAGAAGGUCACUGUUUCAAUCUGUCUGUUCAUUGUUUCAGUUCUAUGUUACCCAGAACGAGAUGGAAAUCUUGUCUCCUGUGGCAUAAUCCCAGUUAAUCCCCCUGACACGGGAGGUUUAAAUGUCCCCUUCCCAGGGGGAAGUGGUGACACUGGGGUUUGGGGUGGGAAGUUCUUGUGUGUUGACUUUAGUACUUCCUCUGGAAAGAGGUCUUGCAGAUGUUAUUUUACAAAGAUCAUGAGUGUCCCCUUCUUAAGACAAAAUGUGACCUUGCUGGGCAUGAGUUUCUUCCUCUCAACCCCUCCUCCCUCUGCAGGCCUGUGAUUCUAGGGAGAUUCAGGAGUGCCUGGGGACUAGAUAGCUCCAGUGGAGAAUACAGGUUUGGUGGCUUCUGGUCUUUCCUGUGAAGAAUUGGUCCCUUCCUGCUGCAGGGUUCUCUGUACCUGUGUCAUUGGCCAAGGUUGCUUUCUGCCUCAGUCUCUUAAAGGACUCCUCCCACACCUGCCCGUUGCGGAUGGCCGUGCGUGUGCGGCCUUUGGCGUGCUUGAGGUACUCCGAGAGCUGGCGAGUUGUGGGCACCUCUGAGCUCAUGGCGGUCUUCAGCCUGCAAUGGAUAGCAAUGGGGGGGGGUCAUGCCCAGGCCCCUCAAGCUGCCAGCUUGGAGAAGGAAGGGUGAUAUGGUGAGGGGUACAGGGAGGAAUCACAGGGGUGUGGGUAGCAUGCAGGAGAUAAAUCCUCUCAAGAUCUUUUUUUAUUCUUUUUCUGAGGCCUCUGGAAAUUCUCUCUCGGGAAGAAGAAGUUACAGUGUGUUUUAAGUUUGUUAGGACAUGAGCGCUUCCUGCGUCAGAUUCUGAAGGUUGCAGCUAAGCUGGCUGCAUCAGAAUCAGCUGGGGAAUGUUAAAAAUACCAAGUCCCAGGACAUACUGAUUCAGUCAGAGGAACCCCUGGUAUCUCAUCAAGCUUUGUGGACAGAGAAUUCUAGAUAUAAUAUGUUUAUGGGCCUCCCUUUCUGUCCCUGAAGACAUCCUUAGUUGCAUCUGGCCCUGGAGUUGGUGUGGAGUUUGUUUAGAUGUGAGCUGUAGCAUCAACCUUUGCUGGCAUGUUUUGGCGCCAGAUGGUCAACCUUUUUAUUCCUUAAUUUCCCAUGUGUAAAACGAGAAGUCCAAAACCCUGGUACUGAGAAGCUUAUGACAACACGGAGGUGACUGAGGCAAAAUCAGAAAAGUCCCUCCAUGAGAACCCUCUACCCCCUCCCCGUGCCCUGGUUUCUCUGUGUGUGCGACGGGAGGGGUCUGUGAGAUGAUCUCCAUGACUCUGUGAUUCUGAAAUAUUGGAAGUGACUCAAAUUAGCACCAAAGACAACCCUGCUUUGGGGUACAAUUCACUGACCACCCCUGGCCUGUCAGUUAUUAAGUCUGUUUCAGGUGUGAGGGGGCCUGAUUUCUCAGCCUGAGGGGCCACAGGCAUGACAGGGAUGACCGGGCUCUAAUCACCAGGCUGCCUCUCUUCCAACUUGCCCCAACUUCAGUUAAAAAGAACCCAAGAGGGGCCUCCCCGGUGGCGCAGCGGUUGAGCGCUGGGUUGCGAAGCUGCCUGCGGCCUCUGCGGCACCAGUUCGAUCCCCGGCUGCUCCCCGGCCACAGGAGGAGGGUCCCACAUGGCACGCAGACCUCUCCUGCCGCCCGCUGCUCCCCUCAGCAGUGUACUUCGGUCCUUCUGCCUGCUCUGCUCCCCACUCUGGCUCUGGUGAAUUCUCUCACCCUCCUGCGCUUCUGACUGUACCCAGUGCAUGUAUAAACAAAACAAACAAACAAAUAUAAUAAAUAAAUAAAUAAAUAAAACCAUGCCUCUAUAAAAAAAAAAAAACUAAAAAAAAAAAAAAAAAGAACCCAAGAGUUGAUAAAGUAGACUGUGCCGCUGUCCAAGAGCUCAGUGGCCAGACUGCUGGGCCACCUGUGCUAGUUAAACGGAAAUGCAUUCACAUUAAAUGUAAUUAAGAAUUUAGUUCCUCAGUGGCCGAGGUCAAAUUUCAAGUGCUCAAGAGCCACAGAUAGUUUGUUAGUGGUGCCUGUAUUGGACAACCCAGAUGGUUCUGCUGAACAGCAUGGACUUAGAGUUUGGGCCUAGAGGCAAGGCUAGAAUCCCAGUCCCUCCACCACUGCUCUGCUGACGUGGCCCAUGCAUGCCCUGGCCCUCCUCAGAGAAUGGGGAGUCAUCGCGGUGUUUACAUGCAUCGGACUUGGGGACACACUGGCGGGUUUCGCUCCUGACUGCCGCUUACUAGCCGUCUACCUGCAGGCAAGUUACGGGAUCUCUUUCUGCCCAGUUUCCUUAUCCAUGAAAUGCAGAUAGUGAUGGCAUCCUUGGGAUCUCUUCUUAUUUCUCUUCUGUUGCUUCUGGAAAAUUUCUUCUGGGUGGGGGAAACUAAUUGACCAUUUUUUACCUCAAAAACAGCUCUUUCAUAUAGUUUGAUUUAGUGUUUCGUAAGAUUUCUUGGGAGAAAGGAACAUAACGUUCUUGGAGCUGUACAUGGCACAGAGCAAACACCAGCGUUAGCAUCAGCCACUGGUAUCACCAACCAGGGCCUGAAGGGGCUGUUGCGAGAUAUUUUAGAAUUCCCCUCCCCCCAAUAAAGGUGGGUUGUGAGGUUCUAGGUGCUCCUUCCUCCCCCUACCCUGUGUGAGGCGAGGCUCUCCUGCCUCACGGGCUCACCAGAAACUUACCUCCUGCUUUGCUCAAGGCUAGGCUCCUUGGGAGGGGGCAGGGCUUUGGAAGAACUCUUCUUCAAUUUCCAGAACUCCACCCUCCUCCUAGCCACUGUUCUCUCCCAUCUGGAUGGCUGAAGCAACUUCCGAACUGGGCUUCUGCCUCCAUGCUGUCCCCUUCCAUCUGUUCUCCAUGGAGCUGCUGCAGAGAUCUUCUUAGAACAGAGUUCUGACAAGCCGCUCUCUGACUAAAUCACCUGGCUGGCUUAGCCUGGGACGGGGUCCAUCUGCUCACUGCAUUUCAUGCGCAAUGUGUUGUACAACCAUUGCCUCUAUCAAGUUCCAAAACAUUUCCAUCACCCCCAGAGGAGACCCCAUCCUCAUUAAACAGCCCUCCCCACUUCUCCUCCCCUCCCCCUAAGCCCCUAAUUUGCUUCCUGUCGCCCUCCAGGUCCACCUCGGUCCUCACUCUGUGUUCAUUCCUCCUUGCCUGGCUUUCUCUCUGUUUCCUGAACACUCAAAACUCUUUCCUGCCGUUGCCACACUCAGUACCUAGAAUGCCAUCCCCCUGGCUCUCUGCUGGGUUGGCUGUGUAACAAGAUGUUUCAGUGGGAUUCUUUCAUCUCCAUGAGAACUACCCAGUGGGUACAAGGCUGAGAACUAACCCAAGAAGACAACAAGCUCCAAAGCAGGUGCUGGGUACCACUUGCACAAUGGGCGGUGAACACUGAUUUUUUUGGUCUUUAUCCUCUCCCACCCUCCCUUGGGGCAAUGAAAGGAUUGAACUUAAAGAGGGAGAGAGAGUUUUCAUUUGGAGAUAGUUGCUGAAUGCCAGGCCUUUCCAUUCUGCCACCAUGGACCUCCCCUUUGCUUUAAGUCUAGUGACAAAGGGCCUUAAGAGGAGGGCUCCAUCGUGUGUCCUGGAGUCUGGGCUGGUGGUUGGUAGCUGUCCAGAGAGCAUAAAGGAACUAAAUAAGAGAUUGCUGGCACUGGGUGCCUCCCAGCAGAGCUAACCCAACAAGGAAACACUGGACCUCAAAUGCACAUGCCUGAGGCAGUAGGGUGUUUGUUUUUCUGGGGCCUGCUUAAAGGGGCCUGGCUCAUUAGUGUGGGGGAAGGGUGAGGGAGCAAGCUAGUUCACCCAGGCUGAGGGCUGCCACUCUAAGCUAAUGACCAGAAACUUUUCUGGGUCAUGGAGUUGGCAACAGACUCUCUGAGAGACAGGAAAACCCUCAAGGAGGGCAGGAACUUGUGACCCCUGCAAGGCACUGAGUUGCCCAGGUGACUUAGGUCUUGCCAUCUGUAUUUCUCUCAGUUUAACUCCUAAGGCACCAGAAACCUGGGUUGGGGUGAGAGAGGGAGUCCAGGAAAGAGGGACAAGCAAGCUGUGUUCCCUUGUCUCACCUGAGCCAAGGGAAUAGGCUCUGGGCUUUGUCUGCUUAUGCUGAAAUUUGAAUUCCUGAAAUGAUACUGCUGUUGGGACUAGAUGUGACCUGAGCACAUCUUAACAUCUAAAAGUCAGCAGAAAAAGUUAUGGGACCACUUGAAAGUUCAUUCAAGGGCCAUGGAGGAAUGAUGUCCCAAGUCUAGCGUAAAGGCCAGGUUGAGGAAAGAAUUAGGUUUUCCCCUCUUCAAUACAAUGAGUACUCUUGCUUCGUGUCAGCCUCCCAACCUAGAAUAUGGGCUUCCUUAGGCAGGGACGCAGUCUGCAUUGCUACCUCAGAAAUCCCAGCCCCUACACGUAGGUGAUUGUUGGUGCCUGUGGGAUCCCUGAGUGCCCUUGGCUGAUUUCACAGUGGUGAUGUCUGGCCCCUCGCUGUCACCAGAUGCAGCUGCUGGAGGCACACCCCUGGCCUCCUUGGGCCAUUGUUUCCAAGCCAGUGGAGCCACAGGGGUUACACACAGUGCUACAUGUUCCUUAACUCUAAGCCUGCAUUAGCAGCAGCCGAUGUCAAGGGUACGUCCAGAAAUGAAAGCUCUGCUUCCUCGCUCCAAGGUGGGACAGGCUCUGAGGGGCACCUUCUGCUCCAGAUCUCUGGGUGGGGUCAGGUGAAGCUAGACCUUAAACUAUGUCCUUGUUUCACAGCCUCUUCUUUUUAGCUCUCCUGCCUUGCUCCUCACCCCAGAUCUAUCCAGUGCUGCUUGAGCUUGCAUCCAGGCUUCUGGUUCUGCCUCAGUCAAUGUAAGUUACAUGGAAAACUUCCACCUAUAGGCUUUCUGAGACUCUGGAAUGUAUGACCCAAGGAAAUGUCUGGCCACGUGCAAGAGAGUGCUUAUGAGAUUGACUGGACAUUCUCGUCAAGGUGAUUUAUAGGCUGAGGCAUUUAGUAGUUGUGGGCUGCUAUUCCUACGUGCCCCAUACUGGGAGGUGGAGGGCGGGGUGGUGGAAGGGCAAGCCGGAUAAUUGCUCUGCAUCAGUCGGCCAGGGCCGGCCUAUAUGUGGUUGUCAUUAAUAUGAAGGCCGCGAGGGACGUGUGCUGUGUGUAUAUCUCACAUACCUGGUUCGGGAAUCCAGGAAGGCCUUGUUGACUUGGACCUUGACAUGACUCACAGUGUCAGAGAUGGAGGCAGUCCUGGAGGCCCACGCUUAGAGGAGAGGAGGAAGGAGCUGGCUGUCAUACACCUCUCCCCCAGCAUGCCCUCUGCUUCUGUCUCCCUCCUUCUCAGCCAUGACCCCACCCCUUACAUCUGUGCCGGCAGAAGGUCAAGAUUAGGAAACUUUCACAAGAAUCCUCAGGAGAAACAGCAUAGAAUGAAGACUACUCUGUUCUCAAUAGAAAAGUCAAGAUUAAUCUUCAGGAAUCCUCGAGAAUGCCCAGUGAUGGGGCGCAGAAAGAGUGUUACUACUCUGGGUGGUUCAGAGUACUGGGCUCUGGUGAUUUUUCUGCUUCUUGGUGUGCUGAACGCUUAGCUCUCAAAGGACUUAGUGGAUCAUCAUUACCCUGAAGGAGGAAAGGGGAUGAAGUAGGAAAGGGUAGAGGUAGGAUUUCUUACUUUCAAUCAUACUGCUCCGGAGCAUGGGAGGGGGGAAGGAUGCAUUCUCUGAAUGAGGGGAAUGUAGUGGGUUAGUGUCUGCCUCAAGAUACAUGUUCAACCAGACUUCUACAUGUGACCUUAUUUAGAAAUAGGGUCUUUGCAGAUGUAAUUAAGAUGAAGUCAUUCAGGAUUGGGGUGGGCUUUGACCCCGAUGACUGGUGAUCUUAUAACAAAUAAGCUGCUCAGAGGACACACAGAGAGAAGACCCUUUGAAGAUGGAGGCAGAGAUUGGAUGAUGCAGCCAUAAGCCAAGGACACCAAGGAUUGAUGGGAGCCACAGAAGCUUGGAAGAGACAAGGAAGGAAUUUCCUCUAGAGCCUUCGGAGGAGCAUGAGACCCCGCCUACACCUUGAUUUUGGGUUUUAGCCUCCUAAACUGUUGUCUUUAGCUGUCCCCUUAUCACAGAAGCCCCAGGAAAGCAAUGCAGGGAAACACUUACCACUUGUGGCAGAUGUUGUGGCCUGGAGCAAGGUCAGGGAAGCUAGGAGGGCUGGGAAGUGGAGAAGGACCCUCAUCACUGAAAUGAGAUCCAGGAUCAUGCUUUGAGUCUCGUAGAACCUCUGUGGGGGAGGCAGGAGGGUGUGAGUCACAGAAAGGGCAUUGUAAAACAGACAAAGUCCAGGGAACACUAAGUGCCCUUACUUUGGAACAGAGAAGGGGAAACCACAUAACUAGUCACGCAUCUAUCAUGUGCAGACCACUGCUCGGAAACUUGGGAGAGGCAGUGAUGGAAGGGAAAGAACUUAGUUUUGGAGUCAGAGGUAGUUCUGCAUUUGCUCUAACCAGCGCCGUGACGUAGCACCAGUUAUUUCUCACCUCUGGGCCCUGGCCUACCAAGUGAGGGUAGACCAGGUGAUGCCAAUGUCCGACUCUGCCCUGCCCUGACAGGUUUUUUUUCCCCAUGAAGGGCUUUGGGGCUUAGAACGUUCCUUAGGUUUGGCGAAGUAAACCCAGAAUAUUUUUUGAUAGCUCCCGACCACAGAGGUGAUGUGUAGAUAGAAGGAUGGUGUAUUUGAACUACACUCUUGACAGUCCUCUCGGCUUUCACAAGAAGGCACAGGUUCUCCCCUCAGCGUGGAUUUCACUGGUUGAACUUCAGAAACACACCAGGGAGAUCAACCUUGGUAUCUACCCAAGCUCCCUGACAGAAAUUGUGGGACUGGAGCUUGGCCUGAGAGCGCACUGGGCAGUCUUCCAGACACCCUUGGACAAGACCAGCCCAGAAGACAGCUGUGCAUCUGGAUCAGGUGAUGCCGGUGCUUCUGAUCUGCAGACCACACUCUGAGCACCGGAGUCUGGCUCUCAUGCUUGCUGAGAAAUCACCAAGGAGUCACCAGGAAGGUCUGAGCAGGGAAGGAAGCAGUGAGAAUCUUUUCCAUGAAUGGCAGUGUGGUAAGAUGAACCAGCAGGAAACACCCAAUCAGCCCAAGAAUGCUCAAUUUGAUUUUUUUCAGUAGCUCCAGAAUUAAGAGGAGAAUGGGAUGGGGCAGUGGGAUUUAGCUCUUAUCAAGCCUUUUACUGCAGAAUCAAUCUUCCACCUAAGUCCCACGGCUUGGAAUACCCAAUAACAGAAAGAUCAAUAGGAUGCAGCCACUCAACACCCCCAAAUGAAGCCCAUCUAAUAUUGCUGCAAUCUGUGCACUCUAUUGAGAGCCAAGUGCCCACAGGGCUUUGGAGGCAACUGGGACUAGACAUUCAGGGCCAACCAGGUGUUCAGAUCUGCUGUAGAUAGCAGGUCUAAGAUGCUGCAAACAAGGUGGAGAUCUUAGUGCCUUUGCUUAGGGAACCCCUCGAAAGACUGCAAAGUUUUCACUGCUGUGAAGAGGUCAUAUGUAUCACCUGAGUCUCAACACCACUGACCUGCCACCAUGGCAGCCGAAUCUGUCACAAAAAAAUGCCCAGUGGCGACAAGUCCAAACCUAGUACAAAGAUUUCGAGAAGUCUUUAGGAAAUGUCAUCAUAAACAUUGUAUAAACCAGGAAAGAUGCAGUGAAAGUGGUGUAUCUUACCUGCCAAGUACCUUGGCCUUCUGCUUGGUAGCUGCAGGGAACUUGCUCUGCUUGGAGGUGCCUUUAUGCCUGCGGCCAAGACUUUAUUUCUGGGAAAGGUACACAAGCAAAGACUUUGAGGGGCUGAUGUGGGUUGGAGGAGACACUCAGGUUCAGCAGGAAACACCCUAUGACUUCAGCAGCUGAACACGGGAAACUACAGAAUGGCAAGGAUUGGCUGAUGCAACAUCACUGAUUGGAUGAGGCCAUGGCUGUUCCCCCCAUUUUCCAGGUUAGGUGCACAAUCCUGCUUUGUCAAAACUCCAGUCCCUGACCAGGCUUGUCUUUGUUAGGCCCCUAAUGGGAUCCAAAUAGCUCUUAAAUGAGAAGCUAUUAAAUGUCCCUCUUCCCCAUUCACCACUCACUGUACUUUGCUCCCUCACUUGUGUUUCACCUAAUCCACUUGCAAGCCAGUGGAUUUAUCUUUCAGAUUUAAGGUGGUUCAAAAACAUUAACUUUUAGGGGGAUCAAAAUGUCUAGGUACUGCCCUUUUUUGGCCACCAGAUAGAUGACUAGGGUCCUGGACUUGUCAGGGUGCGAGGUGAAGUCCCUCCUUUGUCACUUUAGGGCCCUGGGCAAGUCACUUCACCUUCUGGUGCCUCAUAUUCCUUAGUUAUAAAAUUGAUUGUUGGUUUAGAUGAUUCUUAGGAGAUUCUACCAUGCCUUAUGUAUAGUGGUCCAUUAAAAAACAGGGAUAUCUGGGAAAUUAUUGAGUUAAAGCCCAAAUAUAAUGUCACAUACCAUCCUUCCCUCAGUGACUUUGAAAAUUCAAGUUCAUUAGAGCCAUACAGGAAGGAAACAAAGUUUCAGAGAAAACCAAAUUGCACAAAUGUGAAAUUCUUUCAGACAAUUUAAAUCAUAAGCCUUUAUGUAAAAUUAUACUUUGGGUUGAAAAUAUUCUGUGAGACUCUUCGAAAGUCUUGAAACAAAAACCACCCCCCUGCAUUUACCUUCCAAAAAGUGAUAUCCCUUUUCUCCGGCUGAUGAAAUGUACUUAGAAGCUUCUUUUCUUGUGAUGAAUCCAGGCAAAAUGAACUGGGUGUCUCAGAAGGCAGCUAUCCCGGAAAGAGUAUAUUUUCACUUCUGAGUAUGUUCCAUCACCUUCCCUGGCUCCCUUGAGAAGAAUGGGUGCAUCCUGAGAAUCAUGUUCACUGAUUCCCAGACCAGUUUCAAAGCAUUCAGUGGAAGGAGGUGAGUUGGGAAAAGGCACUUGUGAACUAGGGCCACCUGGUCUGGUCCCCAUCACCAUUUCUUUCUUUCUUUUUUUAAGAUUUAUUUAUUUAUACAAGAUCUGGGGUACAGGUCAGAGCCGCGGGAGGGUGAGAGGAUUCACCAGAGACAGAGCGGGAAGCAGAACAGGCAGACGGACCAAAGACACUGCUAAGCGGAGCAGCAAGCGCGACAAGAAAGGUCUGCCACACCAUGGUGGUUUCUCCCUGGCCGGCCCGGACUCGAACCCGCGCUGCAGAGGCUGUGGACAGCUUCACAGGACUGCGCUCAACCCGCUGCGCCACUGGGGAGUCCCCCCAUCACCAUUUCUGAGUCCACAUGAAAGGAACCCCAAAACUCUGUCUCAGUUCCCUCAUUUGUAAAGUGCAUGAAGUCCGGCCUCGCGUGCGAGAGUUUUUUCGCACACGUGUGAGCGGCGACGCAGC